UGCAUGUCUCAGUGCAAGCCACAUUAAGGUGAAACCGCGAAUGGCUCAUUAAAUCAGUUAUGGUUCCUUAGAUCGUACCCACAUUACUUGGAUAACUGUGGUAAUUCUAGAGCUAAUACAUGCAAACAGAGCUCCGACCAGAAAUGGAAGGAGCGCUUUUAUUAGAUCAAAACCAAUCGGUCGGCCUGUCCGGUCCGUUUGCCUUGGUGACUCUGAAUAACUUUUGGCUGAUCGCACGGUCUUCGUACCGGCGACGCAUCUUUCAAAUGUCUGCCUUAUCAACUUACGAUGGUAGGUUCUGCGCCUACCAUGGUUGUAACGGGUAACGGGGAAUCAGGGUUCGAUUCCGGAGAGGGAGCCUGAGAAACGGCUACCACAUCCAAGGAAGGCAGCAGGCGCGCAAAUUACCCACUCCCGGCACGGGGAGGUAGUGACGAAAAAUAACGAUACGGGACUCAUCCGAGGCCCCGUAAUCGGAAUGAGUACACUUUAAAUCCUUUAACGAGUAUCC
rnacentral:rRNA from 1 species